rnacentral:lncRNA from 1 species
GCCUGAAGACAAGGAACACCAAACUGUCUAAGUUUGAUAGUUUUUAAAAGAAGUUUGGUCUUGAUACCUUAAUUUUGGUUUAACACUCUUAGACAUAAGAAAAACUAUAUUGCCUUCCCUGACAUUUGAUCUGCAGCAUGAGGUCUUACUCAAUGAAUUCUGUAUCAUACAUGUACUCAAAUCAAAUUUGAUUGUUUGAAUAAAAUAAACUAUUUGAUAUACAUGUAUUAAAAUCAAAUAUGAUUGUUUGAAUAAAAUA